UGGAGGGGGAUAACUACUGGAAACGGUAGCUAAUACCGCGAUAACGUCGCAAAGACCAAAGAGGGGGACCUUCGGGCCUCUUGCCAUCGGAUGUGCCCAGAUGGGAUUAGCGUAGUAGGUGGGGUAACGGCUCACCUAGGCGACGAUCCCUAGGCUGGUCUGAGAGGAUGACCAGCCACACUGGAACUGAGACACGGUCCAGACUCCUACGGGAGGCAGCAGUGGGGAAUAUUGCACAAUGGGCGCAAGCCUGAUGCAGCCAUGCCGCCGUGUAUGAAGAAGGCCUUCGGGUUGUAAAGUACUUUCAGCGGGGAGGAAGGGAGUAAAGUUAAUACCUUUGCUCAUUGACGUUACCCGCAGAAGAAGCACCGGCUAACUCCGUGCCAGCCGCGGC
rnacentral:rRNA from 1 species